CCCUUAUCCUUUGUUGCCAGCGGUCCGGCCGGGAACUCAAAGGAGACUGCCAGUGAUAAACUGGAGGAAGGUGGGGAUGACGUCAAGUCAUCAUGGCCCUUACGACCAGGGCUACACACGUGCUACAAUGGCAUAUACAAAGAGAAGCGACCUCGCGAGAGCAAGCGGACCUCAUAAAGUAUGUCGUAGUCCGGAUUGGAGUCUGCAACUCGACUCCAUGAAGUCGGAAUCGCUAGUAAUCGUAGAUCAGAAUGCUACGGUGAAUACGUUCCCGGGCCUUGUACACACCGCCCGUCACACCAUGGGAGUGGGUUGCAAAAGAAGUAGGUAGCUUAACCUUCGGGAGGGCGCUUACCACUUUGUGAUUCAUGACUGGGGUGAAGUCGUAACAAGGUAACCGUAGGGGAACCUGCGGUUGGAUCACCUCCUU
rnacentral:rRNA from 1 species